rnacentral:rRNA from 1 species
CAGCAGCCGCGGUAAUACGUAGGUCCCGAGCGUUGUCUGGAUUUAUUGGGCGUAAAGCGAGCGCAGGCGGUUAGAUAAGUCUGAAGUUAAAGGCUGUGGCUUAACCAUAGUACGCUCUGGAAACUGUUUAACUUGAGUGCAAGAGGGGAGAGUGGAAUUCCAUGUGUAGCGGUGAAAUGCGUAGAUAUAUGGAGGAACGCCGGUGGCGAAAGCGGCUCUCUGGCUUGUAACUGACGCUGAGGCUCGAAAGCGUGGGGAGCAAACAGGAUUAGAUACCCCCGUAGUCCCUGUCUCUUAUACA